GGGAUUGCCUUAGUAACGGCGAGUGAAGCGGCAACAGCUCAAAUUUGAAAUCUGGCCCCUCCGGGGUCCGAGUUGUAAUUUGUAGAGAGUGCUUCGGGGGAGGCCGCGGUCUAAGUCCAUUGGAACAUGGCGUCAUAGAGGGUGAGAAUCCCGUAUGCGACCGUGGCUCAAACCCAUGUGAAGCCUCUUCGACGAGUCGAGUUGUUUGGGAAUGCAGCUCAAAAUGGGUGGUAAAUUUCAUCUAAAGCUAAAUACCGGCUGGAGACCGAUAGCGCACAAGUAGAGUGAUCGAAAGAUGAAAAGCACUUUGGAAAGAGAGUCAAACAGUACGUGAAAUUGUUGAAAGGGAANCGCUUGCAACCAGACCUGCCCGCGGGUGAUCAGCCGCUGUUCUCAGCGGUGCACUCGCCCCGCGAUCAGGCCAGCAUCGGUUUCGGCGGCCGGAUAAAGGCCUUGGGAAUGUAGCUUCCCUUCGGGGGAGCCUUAUAGCCCUCGGUGCAAUGCGGCCAGCCGAGACCGAGGACCGCGCUUCGGCUAGGAUGCUGGCGUAAUGGUUGUAAGCGACCCGUCUUGAAACACGGACCAAGGAGUCUAACAUCUAUGCGAGUGUUUGGGCGUUAAACCCAUGCGCGGAAUGAAAGUGAACGGAGGUGAGAACCCUGAAGGGCGCAU
rnacentral:rRNA from 1 species